UGCGUAGUCCAUGAGGCCCCUAUCAUCCAGUUGACGGAUAAUAAAUUAUUUGUUGAGACGGCCAACAGAAAAAAUACCGGCAGUUUGAGCCAGCAGUGAAAAAAUAAAUCAAAAUUAAAAUCCAAAAAAAAAAAAUCUAAUAAAAUUUAAAUAUUCUUUAAAAAAAAAUACAAAAUUCAAGAAAAGAGAAAAAAUACAAGGAGUUGCUAAGAAUCGAGAAGUGAUAGAGUGUGGGGAGGAAGGCUUCAAAAUUAUUAUUGAGUAAAGCAUUUGUUUCGAAGAGAGAUAUAUGUCGAUGGCUUGGCGCUAAAAAUUGUUUGUUAAUUUAAGAAAAAAAGGAAAUUCAAAAUUGAGGCAUGAAAAUUCGAAUUUAAAUCGAGAUAAAUAUAAAAAUAUAUAAUAUAAAAAAUAUAGAAAAAUAUAUAUAAUAAAAAAUCAGCCGAAUAAAAUUGUGAACAACGACAUUAAAAAAAUAUUAAAAAAAAAUAAAAAAAACAUUUUUAAAUACUUAAAAAAUACUUGAAUACAAUUCAAAAAAUUUAAAAAAUUAAAUAUCAAAAAUUUAUAAAAUUGAAAACAAAAUUUAGAAAAAAAAUCAACAUAUUAGUGGAGUGAAAUAUUUCUUCAGAAAGUGCUCAACAAAUAAUUCUUCCCAAAAUAAUAAAUUAUAUCAAAUGAAGAGGAUAUAAAAACCAUCCAGAAUUUUUAUAUACACCAAAUAUUUAAAAAAUAUUAAAUUGGAGACCGAGAUUCGAAAGAUAAAAUUGCAUGCAUAUCGCUGGAUGUCGGAAUUAUUAUCGAUUAAUUUUGAAGAAAAUUAAAAAUUGAUUUAAAUAUUAAAGAAAAAAGUUGAAGUUGAAAAUAAAAAAAAUAUAAAAUAUCAUAUUGAAAAUAUCAAAAUAGAAAGCGGCAAUCAAAAAUCGAAGUAAGUUAACUAUUAACUAAAUUGAAUAAGACCAAAAAAAAAAUAUAGGAAAAAUCAAGCAAAUAAAGUCAAACAAAAUAGACAUAAAUAAUACUACUUUCGUCCGGAAGACAAAUAAAAAUAAAUAUCAAUUUUAAUUAAAAAAAAGGAAUUUUUAAAUGAUUACGAUUAAAAUCAAAACAUUCAAAAAUUAAAAAUAAAAAAAAAAAACAAAUAUAAAAUAUUAAUAAUAUCGACAAAAUACAGCAUUCUGGAUUUCUGGAUUUCAAAUCAAAAAUCAUAACAGUGUUAUUUAGUGAAAAUUAAAAAAAAAAUAAUUGAGAAUAUACAGCGAAAAUCCGACUGUAAAACUCCAUUCUGAAUAAUUCAAAUUUGGUAACGACCAUACAUCAUAAAAAGCAAACAAAUAUAUCCUAAAAUAUUGAUACACAGCUCAUAUUCAAAAUCGUUAUUCCCUAUAAAACGACAGCAUACUUUGUGCAAACGACCAUACCAUACGUUUACCAUUUCUUAAAUAAAAAUUAAAAAAAAAAUUAUAAGUUUAAAUUAAUCCAACAAAAAAAGGCAAACGAAUCUCUAAAGAAAACAAGGCUUCGGCAGAAAAAUCCAGUUCUGAAAAAUUCGUAAAAUUUCAGUAUGUCACUUUGUGUAAACGACCAUACUUCGCAACAGGUCACAUUGUGUUAACGACCAUACUUUUUUAUCAACUACAAAAUUGCCAAUAUUUCCACUGUUACUGGGCUUCGAUUAAAAAACAGAGCUUCGAUUAAAAAAAAAUAAUUCCGCUAUAAUCGUAAAAAUUCAACUAAACACUUUGCGUUAACGACCAUACUUUCUUAAACAUCACUUUGUGUGAACGACCAUACUUUCCAAAACAUCACUUUUUGUGAACGACCAUACUUCUCGUCACUUUGUGCAAACGGCCAUACCUUCUUACUCAACUACAAAAUUCCAAAAAUUUUAAUUUUUACUAACGGGAUUCCAGUUAUUGACAACCAUUUAAAGUAUGGGCUUCGAUUACAAGAAAAUCGUAAAAAUUCAACAAGACACUUUGUAUUAACGACCAUACUUUCCAGCGCGUCACUUUAUAUAGACGACCAUACUUUGGAACAGGUCACUUUGUGUGAACGACCAUACUUUCCAGCGAGUCAUUUUGUGCAGACGACCAUACUUUUUUAAUCAACUACAAAAUUCCAAAAUUUUUCAUAGAUACUAACGGUAUUCCAUUUCUAGACAACCACUUAGAGAAUGGGCUUUGAUUAACAAACAGUGUUUCGAUAAAAAAAAAAUCCGCAAAAAUCGUAAAAAUUCAACAAGUCACUUUGUGUAAACGACCAUACUUUCCAGCACGUCACUUUGUGGAAACGACCAUACUUUCCAAAACGUCGCUUUGUGUAGACGACCAUAUUUUCCGAAACGUCACUUUGCUUAAACGACCAUACUUUUAAUGUCAACUACAAGGUUCCAAAGAUUUCCAUUAUUUUUUCAAGGACCAAACUAGGUCCACUUAUUGACAAUUAUUCUGUAAAAUCCACAAACAACGCUUCGAUUGAAAAAAAAUUAUUCCGCAAAAAUCGAAAAAAAUCAACAAGACACUUUAUGCUAACGACCAGAUUUAUCAUUAAACGCAAACAAAAAUAUCCUUAAAUAUCAAUUCCCAGCCCAUGUUCACAAUAUCGAUUACCUAAAAACGACAGCACACUUUGUGCAAACGACCAUACUCUGAAACCUGUUAAAGGAUAACAAAACAUCAAACUAAGCCAAUAAAAGUUUCUAUUAAAACUACCAAAACCCCCCAAACAAAAAAAGGCCAACAAAAUUUUAAUCAAAAUCUUAUCAAAAUGAAAUAAAAUAUUUAACAAAAUAAUAAUAAUAAUAAUAGUGCAAAAAAACAACAUAUUUAUAUAAAUAAUAAAAAUUUCACUUGAAUGCCCAUUCAAGAGUAGAAGAAAAAAGUGUUUUCCAAAAAAAGGCAAAAAAAAUACAUAAGUGUUAUGUGCAGCGACGAGCGAGCACAUGGUGUGUAUGUUCAAAUUUAAUAUUUAUAUCAAAGUUUGUUGAACAACAACAGCAGCAGCAGUAAAAGCAGCAACAGAAAAUACAAAAAA